rnacentral:rRNA from 1 species
AUGCAUUGGCAGUGGGAGAAUUGCCCGGUUGCUUGGAAAGGACAGUUUACUCGUGGUGACCAUGGUGUCCCUACUCUCAUGCUCAAAGCAGUAGCUUCAUAUGACCUUUGGAUAUGGCAUGCCUUUUUUGGUGUUGCUGGUGCCAAUAAUGACAUAAAUGUGCUUAAUCAGUCCCCAUUAUUCAUUGAGGAGUUGAAGGGGGAAGCUCCUCGCGUGCAAUAUACUGUCAAUGAGAGGCGGUACAAUACUGGCUACUAUCUUGUGGAUGACAUAUACCCAGAAUGGGUUGCCUUCGUCAAGACAAUUCCACUCCCCCAAAUAGAAAAGGACAAGCGGUUUGCACAACUUCAAGAAGGCGCUAGGAAGGAUAUAGAACGUGCAUUCGGGGUCUUGCAAUCUCGCUUCUCUAUUGUGCGUCGUCUAGCACGAUUAUGGUCACGAGCAUCUAUUGGAAAUAUUAUGAAAGCAUGCAUCAUUCUUCACAAUAUGAUAGUUGAAGAUGAGAGGGAAAUGGUCACCACUCCUCUUGACUUGAAUGAGACUCCGGGGUCAUUAGUUGUUUUACCUCUAGAAAUGAAGGUGGGUGGUAACACAUGCUUUGCUGAUGUUCUUCGGAGAAAUGCUGGAAUUCGUGAUCGCUCAACACAUACGCAACUCAAGAGGGACUUGGUUGAGCACAUUUGGAAGAGAUAUGGCAAUUAG